AUUUUAUUGCUUGUCUUGUUUUUAUUUUAUGUUAUGUUUAAUUAUUUUAUUGAAGAAUCAUUUUGUUGUUGUAUAUUUGUGAUUUAAUUCCUUUUACUAUAGAUUAUUUGUACUGUAGGGGUAUGACUUGUUAUUGUAUUUUUAGAAGCUGAUUUUAUUUGUUGUACCUUGUGUAUCAGGGUUCAUUAAAUUUUAUUAUUUAUUUUUAUUUCCCGAUUUUAAAGGAGUUAAUGGUUUAUUUUAGUUAAUGUUUCAUUAUUAUUAAUAAUAUUCCAUUGGUAGUGAAAUGCUAUUCGUCUUUAGUGGUUUCUGGUUUUCCAAGAAAUGAAUUCAAUUCAUGCUCUUUGUUUAAUUUUUACUUUUAUUGUAUUUGUUUUUACUUAGAGUUAAGAUUAAGGGGGAUUAGCUCCUUAUUUUACUUUUAUAAUUUUUCUUGUUAUUUAGUUUUGUGGAUUUUAUAGUGAUUUUCAAUUUGAUUAUGUUAAAAUUUUAUUUAUUCUUUUGUUUAUUUAGUUUGUUAUUUAAUUUGUUUAUUGGAAUAUUUUCUUUAACUUUUUGUUUGUAUAGUAAUUAUUGUGUAAUUAGUAAAUUUAUCUUUAUGUUGUUUAUUAUUUGUUAAAUUCUUUUGAGGAACUAGGCAAAUCUUUCACGUCCGCCUGUUUAACAAAAACAUCUCUUCUUGUUAGUUUUUGAAGUAUGGCCUGCCCACUGACUAUUUGUUGAAGGGCCGCGGUAUUUUGACCGUGCAAAGGUAGCAUAAUCAUUAGUUCUUUAAUUGUGAUCUGGUAUGAAUGGCUUGACGAGACGUGUACUGUCUUAAGUAAUGAAUAUAUAAUUGAAUUUGGUCUUUGAGUUAAAAUUCUUAAAUGUUUUUAUGGGACGAGAAGACCCUAUAGAGUUUAACAUUUAAAUUUCUUUCUUUUAUUUUGUUUGUUUUUAUUUUAUUAAGUGAUUUAAGUGUUUUGUUGGGGUGAUGGGAGGAAUUUAUCUAACUCCUCUUUGUUUUACAUAUUUAUCUAUAAUUUUUUGAUCCAUUUAUUUUGAUUACAAGAUUAAAUUACCUUAGGGAUAACAGCGUUAUCUUCCUUGAGAGUUCUUAUUGGCGGGGAGGUUUGCGACCUCGAUGUUGGAUUAAGGUUAAUUUUUGGUGUAGGAGCUAAAAGUGAUUGGGUCUGUUCGACCUUUAAAAUCUUACAUGAUCUGAGUUCAGACCGGCGUGAGCCAGGUUGGUUUCUAUCUAUAAUGUUAUUUUAUACCUUAGUACGAGAGGACCGGGUAUUUGGAAUAAUUUUAUUCUUUAUGAUUAUUAUUAAUGUUGUUUACUAUUUUGGCAGAUAAGUGCAUUGGAUUUAGAAUCUAUUAA
rnacentral:rRNA from 1 species